rnacentral:rRNA from 1 species
UACAGAGGGGGCAAGCGUUGUUCGGAAUUACUGGGCGUAAAGGGCGCGUAGGCGGCCUGUUAAGUCGGACGUGAAAUCCCUCGGCUCAACCGGGGAACUGCGUCCGAUACUGGCGGGCUUGAAUUCGGGAGAGGGAUGUGGAAUUCCAGGUGUAGCGGUGAAAUGCGUAGAUAUCUGGAGGAACACCGGUGGCGAAGGCGGCAUCCUGGACCGGCAUUGACGCUGAGGCGCGAAAGCUAGGGGAGCAAACAGG